rnacentral:lncRNA from 1 species
GUCUGCUGAAGGCUUGCAACUCCCAGAGGAAGCCUUGGACGGUCAAUUGAGAUUAAUGUCAGUCAGUUCCAGCUCUUAGCACAGGAGCCGCUACCCAGGCCCCUACCCCCGGCCACGUGGAGGCAACUGUGUGCGUGUUCCUGCAGCGGCUCGCACAGAAACACGACACGAGACAGCAAACCCCACGGAGGGGAGGAUCUGAUUUCCAGAGUUACCACCUCGUUAGCUUCAAGGGUCCAGAUUUCAACUAAAAAUCACAAGGCACACAAAGAAACAGGAAAUAUGGCCUGUUGCAAGGAAAAGCUAACUCAACAGAGCUGUCCCUGAAAACGGCCGGAUGGCAGACCUACCAGACCAAGACUUUAAACACCUGCCUUAAACGAGCUCACAGAACUCAGGAAGAUGUGGAACCGUCUUCACGAUAUUGUUUCCCCAAGUGCACAGUCCAUUCUAAAUACCAAUCCACGUGGUAUACAGUCGUUCAUCUGAUAGAAAUUUGUUGAACAUCUGUCUCAAGAAAUGCUACUUUCUUUACUCAGAAUAAAAUGUGACGUUUCUGGAGGCCAGGAGGCUGCAGGUUCGGUUACUCAGACUCCGACCCUGCGAUGCGCAUCCCUGGUUCCUUUGCUGAGUCCACUCCCGCCUUUCUGCCGGCGUGAGGAGGUCCUUGCUCUCCACCACGCCUUCACCAGGCCUGAGUCGAGCCCGGUGGUUCUCAGUCUGCACGUCCCUUGGGCUGUGCUUGCCAACCUCGCAGGGAGUUUGAACCUGGGCUGGACGUGGGCGUGAGCAUUCCUGAGGCUCCACGUGUUUCUGACAUGCAGCAGCGCUUGAGGACACCUGGGACGCCCACCCUCUGACUCCCUGCAGUGGCAGUGGACGCGAGGGGGACGUUGGCAGAGUUUGUCUUGAAGGUUGGGGAUGACAAACGAGAUAAAUUCAGAGCGCCUCCUUAUUCCACACCCACUCCCCUUUGUAGAAUCGUUUCUUGGGAGUUUUCCUGUGAGGAAAAAAACUUUAAUAGUCAAUUAAGAAUAGAAAACACCGCAUACUAGAUAAAAUCAGUAGUAAAGAGCCCUUCAGAUUUCCUUUAUGGAGUGUUUCCAAACUUAAUAGUAAAUUAGUGAUAUGGUAAUAGAUGUGGU